rnacentral:rRNA from 1 species
GCCGGAGGAAGGUGGGGAUGACGUCAAAUCAUCAUGCCCCUUAUGACCUGGGCUACACACGUGCUACAAUGGAUAGUACAAAGGGUCGCGAAGCCGCGAGGUGGAGCUAAUCCCAUAAAACUAUUCUCAGUUCGGAUUGUAGGCUGCAACUCGCCUACAUGAAGCCGGAAUCGCUAGUAAUCGUGGAUCAGCAUGCCACGGUGAAUACGUUCCCGGGCCUUGUACACACCGCCCGUCACACCACGAGAGUUUGUAACACCCGAAGUCGGUAGGGUAACCUUUAUGGAGCCAGCCGCCGAAGGUGGGACAGAUAAUUGGGGUGAAGUCGUAACAAGGUAGCCGUAUCGGAAGGUGCGGCUGGAUCACCUCCUUUCUAAGGAA